AUGAGCAUAAAAGCGGGUUGUCCAGUCAGAGUUUUAGGUCUGGUUUUGAGUCCCUGUUUUCUCCCUCAUGUCUCUAACGCCAGAAGACGUUUGUUUAAAUAGGUUUUAGCUCGUUAGGAGUUUAGUUUAGCGCUGAGGGUUUUGGUCAGAAUGCGAAUGAGCUGCUGUGUGAAGCUAAGCGCUGCUACAGAGAGGAGACGGCGGCGUGGGGUCACAUUCUGUUCUCAGACUCGGAGAAAGCCGCGAUGACGUGAGGGAUGAUUGCAGCUCAACUCGAGCCCCAUUAAUGAAACACUAACUCCUAAUACUAAAUACUAAACUCCUCCUGGAAGUGGCAAGUCACCACAGUUGUAGGUCAAAAAAUAGAAGCAUGGAGACUUCUUCACUGUCCUAACACCCGUGGUUCCUAAUGGAGUCGUGACGUAGUGACAUGGCCUUGUGAAGAUCAUGGGUGUUUUCUGCAGCUUUCUUGUCCAGCUUUACGAGCAUGCCCGUCACCUGGCCGAUUUUCCUCAACAGCACAGAUACAGUGCCUUUACCUGGUGAAAUGCACAGAUGGAUAAUGAUGCAGUUGGCCUUUGGACUCACUUCAAACUUUGACUGUGUAGAGUUUUUGUAUAGAAAUUCUCACCACCUUGAAUUAAUGCAUUCACUUGAUUAUGUGCUAAAAUCUCUUACUCUACAUUAUGUAAAAUUAAGUUGGUCAGAAGGAGAGUUUAGAGCCCAAAUAAUUUUGGUUUAAACUUGA